rnacentral:rRNA from 1 species
UACGGAGGGUGCAAGCGUUAAUCGGAAUUACUGGGCGUAAAGCGUGCGCAGGCGGUUUGUUAAGUCCGUUGCGAAAGCCCCGAGCUCAACUUGGGAAUUGCAGUGGAUACUGGCAGGCUGGAGUACGGUAGAGGAAGGUGGAAUUCCCGGUGUAGCAGUGAAAUGCGUAGAUAUCGGGAGGAACACCAGUGGCGAAGGCGGCCUUCUGGACCAGUACUGACGCUCAUGCACGAAAGCGUGGGGAGCAAACAGG